rnacentral:rRNA from 1 species
AUUGAACGCUGGCGGCAUGCCUUACACAUGCAAGUCGAACGGCAGCACGGAGCUUGCUCUGGUGGCGAGUGGCGAACGGGUGAGUAAUAUAUCGGAACGUACCCAAGAGUGGGGGAUAACGUAGCGAAAGCUACGCUAAUACCGCAUACGAUCUAAGGAUGAAAGCAGGGGAUCGCAAGACCUUGUGCUCCUGGAGCGGCCGAUAACUGAUUAGCUAGUUGGUGAGGUAAAGGCUCACCAAGGCAUCGAUCAGUAGCUGGUCUGAGAGGACGACCAGCCACACUGGAACUGAGACACGGUCCAGACUCCUACGGGAGGCAGCAGUGGGGAAUUUUGGACAAUGGGGGCAACCCUGAUCCAGCAAUGCCGCGUGAGUGAAGAAGGCCUUCGGGUUGUAAAGCUCUUUUGUCAGGGAAGAAACGGUGGAGGCUAAUAUCCUUUGCUAAUGACGGUACCUGAAGAAUAAGCACCGGCUAACUACGUGCCAGCCGCCGCCGUAAUAC